UACGAAGGGGGCUAGCGUUGCUCGGAAUUACUGGGCGUAAAGCGCACGUAGGCGGCUUUGUAAGUAAGAGGUGAAAGCCCGGAGCUCAACUCCGGAACUGCCUUUUAGACUGCAUCGCUUGAAUCCAGGAGAGGUGAGUGGAAUUCCGAGUGUAGAGGUGAAAUUCGUAGAUAUUCGGAAGAACACCAGUGGCGAAGGCGGCUCACUGGACUGGUAUUGACGCUGAGGUGCGAAAGCGUGGGGAGCAAACAGG
rnacentral:rRNA from 1 species